GGUUAUGGCUCAGCGGUAGAGCGCUCGCCUCGCAAGUGCAAGGUCUUGGGUUCGAUACUCAGCACCA
rnacentral:tRNA from 1 species